GCUGGAGGUUUCUGCAUAUGUGAGGUCUUCUAAAGCAUUACAGAAUCAUAUUCAGAAGAUCUAUGGUUAAUGUGUGGUCUAUUGGGAUCUUGCAGCUUGAAAGCAAGCCAGGUUCGGGUCACAGAAGUGGAGAGCUGCAGGUGUUGCUUUACACUCUCAUCCUUUGCCCUCAGUAGUGCAGUGUUCCUCAUAAAAUGUAAUUAAGUCUUCAUGAGCCCUUUCUGAUGGUCAAGAUGUUCUCUCCUCCCACCCAUAAACUACUUGCAAGAUGUCACUUUUUCCCUGGGCGCCCAGCUUUAUUCAGGUUCAUCUCAUUCACUUCAUUACCAUUUCGUGGAUUGUAACGUUUGGACUCUAAAAGCUGAGGAUUGAUCCCACAUUGCAGAUUGAGCUCCCUCCUCCUUGCCAUGGGAAGGUGACCUAUGCAGUGGAUGCUACAGUGAGUGCUCUCCUAUAGGGAGUGACUUUUGGCUUCCCACACAAGCUCCAGUUUGAGGUUUCCACCCUCCAAGUGGCUGCAGGGCUGCAGAGGAUGGUUAUUGUACUUACAGAAUGCUCCUGUGUGCACCAGUGAACAACACUCGCUUUCACACCAAUGAACACAAAUGAGCUUGAAGCCAGUAUUUUCUCAAUAUGAAAGACUAUUUGUGCAGCUACUUUCUGGCAUUCCUUGUGCUCUAAUUACAGCUACUUUCUCUUUCUUUGCUUCAUUAAUGAAAGAAGACACGUAAGGCUCAAUUCACAAAGGCAUUUAAACAUCCGACUCCUGCUGAAAUCCCUGGUGAAUCUCAGCGGUAGACACUCCUCAGCUCUCCUUUGGUUCACAAAGUAGUGCUGGGGACCUGCAUGGCGUUACUUCUGCUUUGUACUAAGCUUGGGCGAUUGAAGAAUGAGAGCCUCUGCAUUUGCAAGAGAAUGUUUCAGUGACAGAAAUAUGAACAGGGAGGCUGAUGAUACCAGUGCUGUUUCACAGCUCCGCACGUGAUGUUGUGGGUAACCUUGAAUAAGUCCCAUCUUCUGUCUGCAGCCACCCGGCACUGCCUUAUAAGUUUGUGAGCCUCUCUGCUUUCAUGUCCACAGAUAAUCCAGUCUGGGCUUUCCAGAGGGGACUGGAGGUUUAUGUCCCCUUUGGGAUUCUUACUUCCUCAGUCUCUUUGAAAAUGCCAAUUUUAGAGAUUACUGCAAGGAAAGAGCAACACGAACCAGAGCGGGCAGGAAGAGUCUGUCAGUCAACUUGGUGUUUCCAUCUUUAAAAACAGGAAAGAAGACACCAGAAAAACAUCAUGGGCAAAAUUAAUUGCCUUAUGUUUAUAACUGGAGGAUCUGAAGUUUCCUUCUGGAGUCACUUUUAGUCUUCCUACAUCUGUUCGUAGGCAGGGCUGUGGUCUCCUGCUUCUGAGUGGCAAUGUGUCUGUAGGCAGAACCUGUUGAUUGUUUACCACUGCUGUUUUGCCUUGCAUCUCUGUCACAUUUUCCAAGGGCAACGUGAUUCACCGACAAAAGACUGUGCUUUGGUGGAAAGCGCUGAAGAGUGGACUGAUCCUCCCCCACGUGUCACUGCUGCAGGGCACGCAGGGAGGACCCCAGAUGCAUUCUGGUGUAUGGAACUAAUAAUGUUUAGUGUUCCUGUCGUGCCCUCAAUUGUACUGCUGGGUUGUACUGCUCUCUGUAUUCAGUAAAUUGCAGGGGAAGAGGGCAGUUAAAGUUUUUGUUUUCCUCCCUUUCAGAUUUUGCCUUAUAGACAUCAGACACUCCAACUCUGGCCUCCCCACUGCAGAACCCAGCUAGGAUACAGCCUGCUAUAAUCAAGUGUGAACAGUUUGUCAUAUGAUGGAAUCAGAUAAUCGUGUAGGUUGGAAAGAUCACUAAGACCAUCUAGUCUACCUGUCAUCCCCCUCAUGCUCAUCAGACCAUGUUCCUUAGUGCCAUACCUCCAUGGCUCUUGAGCACCUUCAGGGACAGUGACACCACCUCCCUGGGCAGCUCUGCCACUGCAUCACCUCUUUCUGAGAAGAAAUUUUUCCUAAUAUCCAGGUGUCAGAUGUGAAGACACUGACUCUAAAAGUCACAGGGAAUGGAAGUGAAACGUUAGGGUGCUAUCAAAAUCCUUAACAAAGCUGAAUCCGCUCAUCUCAUCCCACACCUCUGUGGUAGGGGUGCAGGUCCUGGUGUGCUCACUCACAGCACGUGGCUGGGAUUGGCAGGGGCAUGGGGCUGACAUGGACAAGCACGAGGUGCUCAUGGGCCUGCAAGAGCGAGCCAUCAAUUUCAUCCCAAAGUGGUUUUAGUGAGAAGCCACGCAAGACAAGGAAUGAAUUACUGAGCCCAUUCAUGCUUAGUGAGUUAUUAAGUGUAAGGGCAAAGUCUGCAAGCACUCUCUGUGCUCAAUGUCUGAGUUAAUAAACCAUCACUCAGAGACCAGA